rnacentral:rRNA from 1 species
AUUAGCGGCGGACGGGUGAGUAACACGUGAGUAACCUGCCUUAGACAUUGGGAUAGCCUCGGGAAACCGGGAUUAAUACCAAAUAAAAUCAUAAUGACACAUGUCAUAACGAUCAAAACUCCGGUGGUCUAAGAUGGACUCGCGUCCCAUUAGCUAGUUGGUAGAGUAAAAGCCUACCAAGGCGACGAUGGGUAGCUGGCCUGAGAGGGUGAACGGCCACAUUGUAACUGAGAAACGGUCCAA